UGUCAGAGAUUAUUCCAGUACCCAAAAACAACCACCCAAGGGAGUUUAAUGAUCUUCGACCCGUAGCCUUAACAUCAAUUAUAAUGAAAUGUUUGGAGCACAUUGUGAAGAGGUACAUUUGUUCAAGCGUAGAUCCCUUGAAAGAUAUUUUGCAAUUUGCUUAUUGUCAAGGUAUGAGUGUUCAGGAUGCUGGGUUAACCUUACUUCACCAAACUUACGAACAUUUAGAACUGAAAUUCACAGGUUAGAAUUAUAUUUAUAGAUUUUAGCAGCGCUUUCAUUACAAUUCAGCCACAUAUUUUACUUAACAAAUUACCAGAGAUGAAUAUCAACAGUAAUCUAAUACUGUGGAUCUAUAGUUAUCUUUUGCAAAGACCUCAAUACACCAAAUUUUUUUUUUUUUUUUUUUUUUUUUUUGUCGCGGCCUAUUGCGCCGGUAGGCUUCUUCCCGGUGGGGCCUGAUGGUCAGCCCAAGGCUUCUUCCCGGUGGGGCCUGAUGGUCGGCCCAGCCCGUUCUGGCGCAGGCGAGUGUUGAUAGUGGCGCCAUCUUGUGUUGGCCCAUGCUGCCCCCCGGAACUCAUCUUUCAGCCUCUCUUUGGAGAGGUUAUCUAGAGCCCAGGUUGAUGGGUGGUCUUCAGGCCAGCAUGUGGGUAGUCUUAGGCCACUCGGCAGUGACUGAAAAACCUCAACUGUGCGGCACACUAACACCAGACAAGAGAACCAGGUGGAGAGGUGGAAUUAUAACCUUUGUUGGGGCAGGAUGGAGCACACUAACACCAGACAAGAGAACCAGGUGGAGAGGUGGAAUUAUAACCUUUGUUGGGGCAGGAUGGAGCACACUAACACCAGACAAGAGAACCAGGUGGAAGAUGCUUGGACAGACCUUUAUUUUGCAGUGGACUAUUCAUAUCAGAAGACAAUUUUUCUUUAUACUCUUAUCAUCACGGCCAUGGGUGGUGUGGUGCCAGGGUGUGUGUGGAUGGCCAUGGGUGGUGUGGUGCCAGGGUGGUGUGGAUGACAGGGAAGAUAGGGGCAGUAAGGUGUGCCAGGGUGUGUGUGGAUGGCCAUGGGUGGUGUGGUGCCAGGGUGGUGUGGAUGACAGGGAAGAUAGGGGCAGUAAGGUGUGCAUGGGUGUGUGUGGAUGGCCAUGGGUGGUGUGGUGCCAGGAUAGAGUGGAUGACAGGGAAGAUAGGGGCAGUAAGGUGUGCAUGGGUGUGUGUGGAUGUGCCAGUGAAUGGUAAGGGAAGGAAAGGCAGGAGUGUGCAGGCCACGCACCAUGGAGUCCCCAACUAGGCGAGUCUCGAACUCAUCCUCCAUGGUGUCUGCCAGCACCUGGAACCUAUUGAAGGUAGUGGGGGUCAGUAAAUCCUUGGUUGCCUGCUUCGGUUUGGCUCCAUUCCUUACAGGUUGGAACCCGA